AAACUGGAGAUGGCGACCGGCGCACGGGUGAGUAACACGUAUCCAACCUGCCGAUAACUCGGGGAUAGCCUUUCGAAAGAAAGAUUAAUACCCGAUGGCAUAAUAGAACCGCAUGGUUUGAUUAUUAAAGAAUUUCGGUUAUCGAUGGGGAUGCGUUCCAUUAGGUUGUUGGCGGGGUAACGGCCCACCAAGCCUUCGAUGGAUAGGGGUUCUGAGAGGAAGGUCCCCCACAUUGGAACUGAGACACGGUCCAAACUCCUACGGGAGGCAGCAUG
rnacentral:rRNA from 1 species